rnacentral:rRNA from 1 species
AUGAACGCUGGCGGCGUGCUUAACACAUGCAAGUCGAACGGAAAGGCCCUGCUUUUGUGGGGUGCUCGAGUGGCGAACGGGUGAGUAACACGUGAGUAACCUGCCCUUGACUUUGGGAUAACUUCAGGAAACUGGGGCUAAUACCGGAUAGGAGCUCCUGCUGCAUGGUGGGGGUUGGAAAGUUUCGGCGGUUGGGGAUGGACUCGCGGCUUAUCAGCUUGUUGGUGGGGUAGUGGCUUACCAAGGCUUUGACGGGUAGCCGGCCUGAGAGGGUGACCGGCCACAUUGGGACUGAGAUACGGCCCAGACUCCUACGGGAGGCAGCAGUGGGGAAUAUUGCACAAUGGGCGGAAGCCUGAUGCAGCAACGCCGCGUGCGGGAUGACGGCCUUCGGGUUGUAAACCGCUUUCGCCUGUGACGAAGCGUGAGUGACGGUAAUGGGUAAAGAAGCACCGGCUAACUACGU